UACGUAUGGUGCAAGCGUUAUCCGGAUUUACUGGGUGUAAAGGGAGCGCAGGCGGCACGGCAAGCCUGAUGUGAAAGCCCGCGGCCCAACCGCGGGACUGCAUUGGGAACUACCGGGCUGGAGUGCCGGAGAGGUAGGCGGAAUUCCUAGUGUAGCGGUGAAAUGCGUAGAUAUUAGGAGGAACACCAGUGGCGAAGGCGGCUUACUGGACGGUGACUGACGCUGAGGCUCGAAAGCGUGGGGAGCAAACAGG
rnacentral:rRNA from 1 species